AUUUAGGUGACUCAUAUUUAGAGUAUUACAUUGAAGAUGUGAAUGAGGAUAAAAAAAUCCCUUAAAUA
rnacentral:tRNA from 1 species